rnacentral:rRNA from 1 species
UAUGUCUGUAGUGAAAGCGUGGGGCUCAACCCCAUACACAUUAUGGAAACUGCUUAGCUAGAGGACGAGAGAGGUUAUUGGAAUUCCCUGUGUAGGAGUGAAAUCCGUAGAUAUAGGGAGGAACACCGAUGGCGUAGGCAGAUAACUGGCUCGUUCCUGACACUAAGGCACGAAAGCGUGGGUAGCAAACGGGAUUAGAUACCCCGGUAGUCCACGCCGUAAACGAUGGAUGCUA